rnacentral:rRNA from 1 species
GACGAACGCUGGCGGCGUGCUUAACACAUGCAAGUCGAACGGAAAGGCCCCCUUGUGGGGUACUCGAGUGGCGAACGGGUGAGUAACACGUGAGUAACCUACCCUUGACUUUGGGAUAACAUCAGGAAACUGGGGCUAAUACCGGAUAGGAGCUCCUGCUGCAUGGUGGGGGUUGGAAAGUUUCGGCGGUUGGGGAUGGACUCGCGGCUUAUCAGCUUGUUGGUGGGGUAGUGGCUCACCAAGGCUUUGACGGGUAGCCGGCCUGAGAGGGUGACCGGCCACAUUGGGACUGAGAUACGGCCCAGACUCCUACGGGAGGCAGCAGUGGGGAAUAUUGCACAAUGGGCGGAAGCCUGAUGCAGCAACGCCGCGUGCGGGAUGACGGCCUUCGGGUUGUAAACCGCUUUCGCCUGUGACGAAGCGUGAGUGACGGUAAUGGGUAAAGAAGCACCGGCUAACUACGUG